rnacentral:rRNA from 1 species
GGGGAAUCUUGCACAAUGGGGGAAACCCUGAUGCAGCGACGCCGCGUGAGCGAUGAAGCCCUUCGGGGUGUAAAGCUCUUUCGGCAGGGAAGAUUAUGACGGUACCUGCAGAAGCAGCUGCGGCUAACUACGUGCCAGCAGCCGCGGUAAUACGUAGGCAGCGAGCGUUGUUCGGAGUUACUGGGCGUAAAGGGUGUGUAGGCGGUUCUUUAAGUUUGGUGUGAAAUCUCCCGGCUCAACUGGGAGGGUGCGCCGAAUACUGAGGGACUAGAGUGCGGGAGAGGAAAGUGGAAUUCCUGGUGUAGCGGUGAAAUGCGUAGAUAUCAGGAGGAACACCGGUGGUGUAAACGGCUUUCUGGACCGUAACUGACGCUGAGACACGAAAGCGUGGGUAGCAAAC